AGUGAAAUUUGUAUUUAUGCAGUUUAAGUAUUUUAUAUACUUUUAGUUAAUAUAUUAAUAAAUUAUGUUGUUGGGGGACUGGUGUGAAUUAAUUUUACUAUGGUAAAGUGAAGACUGUCAGUAAUUUAAAACUUCAUUUGUUUGCCAAACUUUCAAAUGAUGUCUGAAUACCUUAACGUGUGAAAGAAGCUACUUUCAAAACAUGGAAAGUUGAGUUUUUACCCUUGGAAGUCACAUAUGAAAAACAAAGAGGGAUUUUGCUUUCUUAAUGUCAUUCCCUGUGAGACAGACAGCAGUAGAUAUUUAGUCAUAGCCAUAGCCUAAGUUUAAGAAAACAAAAUGUUAUAAUUGUGUAGUUAUAUGCUUGAAUUUACUAAUCAGGAUUAUCUCAAUGGUCUCAAACUCGAUCAUGUAUUAGAAUCACCAUGAGGGCUCAUUAAAGGGCCAGAUUGCUGGCCCUACCCUCAGAGUCUGGGGUACUAGCUGAGAAUUUGCAUGUCUAACGAGUUCUUAGGUGAAGCUGAUGCUGCAGAGCCACCAACUUAAACACAAUCAGAAGAGUAUUCCAUGGGGAGAGAGAAGAGAAUCCACAGAUCGUAAUCUAGGAAAAUCAUAGACACUGAAUCAAAGAAAUUAGUGGGAUCUUAGAGAUCUUUUAGUGUAGGUCCCUCGUUUUACAAAUGAAGAAAUAGAAGCCUGAAAAAUUCAGGUGAUUUAAUACAAAAUCAGCCAGUUGUAGAGGCUGGUCUAGAACAUAGAAUCUAUUAUAUUCCAACAAAUUCUAGAAGACUGCUAGUGCCAUAGUAGGUCGUAUUUUCAAUAGAUACAUGCCAAAUACAUUACACACACACAAAAUGGCUCUCAAACUUUAGUGUGUCUGAAAGUAGUUCUGUGGCCUUGCUAAAAAUUAACAUUCUUAAGCUGGGCACUGUGGUGUAUGCCUAUAGUCUCAGCUACUCGGAACGUGGAGAAAGAAGGACCGCCUAAGCCCAGGAGUGAAUUCCUGGGCUCAAGCUGUAGUGUGCAAUGAUUAUGCCUGUGAAUAGCAACUGCACUCCAGCCUGGGCAGCACAGCGAGACCCUGUCUCUAAAAAAAAAAAAAAAAAUAUAUAUAUAUAUAUAUAAAUUAACCUUCCUAAGCCCUCAUCUAAAAAUUCUGAUUCAUAGAUAAAGUAUGGGGCACUUUAAGACCACAGCCCCAUGAGAUUCUAAAGAACAGGUAAAUUGUUCUUUAAGAGACAAUGUUCUACGAUUGUGUAAGCUGAUGUUUUAAGCCAAAUAAUCUACACACAGAAAAUAACAAAACGCCAACUUUAAAAAAAAUUUUUUUGCAAAAUACUUUCACAGGCUAUGAUAAUUCCCUCCAAAGAUCCAGUAAGGUCAGUGAGGCAACUGUCACACUCCCUUUUUGAAGAAAUCUUGGAGAAGUCUCCAUUCUGGGAACCUCCUCCUUCUCAUCCAUGGAAAGGGAAGAAGGAUGCCUGGAGUGGGAUAAAGAAAAUAUAGAAAAGGAAGGGAGUGUCUUCACAUCCCAGCAGGGCACAUGGAGGAGGAGGAGGAGGUGCUGACUAUGGACAGCAAGAAGCAACAUCACCAUCACAAAACACCCACCCAGGGCAGGGGCCCUUUCAACAAGGAGCAUAAGAGACUGUUUCUGCCUCUGAUGGAAGCCCAGCAUUUUGUUUUUCUCCACAUAUUUUAAUCAAUAUUUACCAAGCCAUAACAAUCUGGCUUUCACUGUCACCCUAGGGUUGAGUUUCAUGAGUAACUACCUUUUCCACUGGCUGCAGAAAUAAUGACUCCAUGUAUGAUUGGCAGAAGGUCAUUCAUUUGAGCAUAGGAAAACAAGCAGUUUCAAGAAAAGAGCUGGCAUCUCUGCAUGAGUGAAUCAGUGCACAUCUAAAAUGCAGUUACUGAAAUUAUAGAAGCCUCUCCUCGGCCAAUUGGCCUCCUUUGGAAGAUAUGGCCUCACACCAUUCCAUGUGCAUGUGAAAUGUCUAGACGUGAUUAUAGAGUUUUCUUGAGAGCUGAUGCAUCCAAGGAACAUUUAAAGUAAGAAGCAAAGUAAUGAAAAACGUUUCUCAGAAAAUAAAAAUUGUUAAUAUGGUCUUACCACA
rnacentral:lncRNA from 1 species